UCAGGAGUGCCAUGCCAGCGUGCAUAGAUAGUGUCUUGACAGCUGUAACAAUUGAUUUACGCUGAAAAAUGUCAGAUCAAGGAGUAACCAUUAUUGAUCAACGCAUCAGACUGUACUUCAAUCAAGGUCUUACACAGGCAGUAAUUGCACUGUGUCUCUCUGUUAGAGAUAACAUUCAAAUCAGUCCUCAUCAUUUAAGGAGAAGACUUUCAUGGCUGCAACCUCACAGGCGAGUGCACUUCAGUGAUCCCUCUGAGACUGUUAACUUCAUUCGUAACCAGAUAAAGGACCAGGUCUGAUGAUGCACGAGAGGUGCAGAUUAGUUGGCUUGCGUCUUACUCAAGACUUGAUUUACGAGGUUCAAUCAUAUCAUGACCCAGAGGGCGUACAGCAACAAAGAGGCGCAAGACUUCGGAGAAGAUCUUAUAGUGUCCCAGGGCCCAAUUAUAUGUGGCAUAUGGACUUUUAUGAUAAGCUCACCACUUUUGGAUUGGAGUAAAUGGGUGCAUAGAUAGGUUUUCACGUCAUAUAAUCUGGAUGCAAGCAAACUCUUCAAAUAGUAUCCCCCAAAGUCACCACAGCCUACUUCAUAAGCACAGUCACUGAACUUGGGGGAUGUCCAAAGAUACUUAGAUCAGGCUGCAACACUUCCUCUGAGAGGAUGACACUGAUGCUGUCCAUGGAUCUUGUGUGUUACGUGUUAAGAAAGUACAACAAACCAAAGGAUCUGGUGGGGAUCUACAGGAGUCAGAACAUGGACUACUGAAGGUGGAAACGGGCAUGAUUUGUAUCAUGGAAAACCAUUUCUGAUGUACAGUGUGCCUGAGCUCUAUCUUGCACAAGAUUAUCAUUCAGUAGGGUGUGACAGAGUGGACAUCAUUCUGCAAGAGAACGUCUGUCAGUGGAAAACAGCCAUUCCCUGCGACCUUGACCUCUAUGAGUUUUGUAUGCUGGUGAUGAAGGAAAACAAUAUAGCACAGUGUCAUAACGCUCUGGUGGCCAUAAGAUUUAACAGAGACCUCAGACCUUCAAUAAGAGCACUCCUGCCACACCCUGAUCAGUUAGCUGAGCACUCAGUGGACCAGCAGGAACUGCAGGCAGGCAUCCAUUUUUCCAUCUUUUUGUCAGUGUGGUCAAUAGAAGAAGUGUGUCAUUGGCUGGCAUCCAACAACCUCAACCAAUACAUGGAGAGAUUCCAAGACUGGACAGACUGGAGAGGAGACUGGGAGUCAUGGAGGGGGUGCAAAAAGUCUCAAGUGUCACCAGGACAAGAUGCGGGCUGAGUACCUUAAGAAACACUCCAAUCUGUAGUUGCACUUGAGGAGUAUCCUGCACUCCAAUUUUCCAGCAAUAAUAAGUCACAUUAUUCCCUUUUCAUUCACUCAGCUCUAAAUGUGUGUGUGUUUGUUUGGGUGUGUGUUAUUCACAGCUCCUCACAGAAUUGCAAGAUGAGCUUGAUGUUGACAUCGAUCACAGCAUCAUGAUGGGAAUGGGCAAAGUGGCGAAGAAAGUCACAGAAGUAUGUCAGCAGCAAACAACUGGACUAGACCCCCUCUCAUGUAUGAAGAAGAAUGGAUGUGCAGAGGAGUCACACAGAGGUCUGCAAGUGAUCCUGGCUAUGUUCCACAUUUAUUCAAAGAGAACCCCAGCGCCCUCUACAUGAUCAACAAGAAGGAAACCCCUUUUUGGAGGCUAGUUUUGUGGUGCAUUUGAACUACACAGACGUCCUCAACCAUCAGGUUGAUGACAUCAUAAUCGGGCUGUGGACCUUGAUAUCUAUUUAUUUGGUUUUCAACAUCCAGAACUACAAGAGGGUCAAAAACACUCUUACUUUCAUUGAAAAGUACCUCAUGUCAAAUGCACCUCAAGGAAAGAUCUCGUCCAUUGUCAUCAAGAUGGCUAACUACUUGUUUUCUUAAGCAGUCUCCUGUGUAUCCUCCCUGAACCCCAUCUCUCACACACAAACAUACUUCCAUGUUAUUGUCUUUAGUUUAAGCAUCAAAUGACAUCCAGUCUUGUAUUUGCAUUGAUCUAUACAGUCUUUAUUGAACUGAAGUUUAAGCAUUGUGGAGGAGAAACCAAUUGUAAAAGAAAAAAAAGAAAAAGAAAGGAAAAAUAUAUUAAUCAGCAUGUUAUAUUGUGUCAUGUAAUAUUUAAGACAUGUAUUUUUGUGAAUUAUAUAUUUACUUAAAUUAUGUGUAUAUUACUACUACUGCAACAACUAC